GGCCUCGUAGCGCAGUUGGCUAGAGCAUUUGUAGUGCUACAGUUUCCCCUUGCUGGCGUGGGUUCGAAUCCCACCGAGACCG
rnacentral:tRNA from 1 species